rnacentral:rRNA from 1 species
GACGAACGCUGGCGGCGUGCUUAACACAUGCAAGUCGAACGGAAAGGCCCUGCUUUUGUGGGGUGCUCGAGUGGCGAACGGGUGAGUAACACGUGAGUAACCUGCCCUUGACUUUGGGAUAACUUCAGGAAACUGGGGCUAAUACCGGAUAGGAUCUCCUGCUGCAUGGUGGGGGGUGGAAAGUUUCGGCGGCUGGGGAUGGACUCGCGGCUUAUCAGCUUGUUGGUGGGGUAGUGGCUUACCAAGGCUUGGACGGGUAGCCGGCCUGAGAGGGUGACCGGCGACAUUGGGCCUGAGAUACGGCCCAGACUGCUACGGGAGGCAGCAGUGGGGAAUAUUGCACAAUGGGCGGAAGCCUGAUGCAGCAACGCCGCGUGCGGGAUGACGGCCUUCGGGUUGUAAACCGCUUUCGCCUGUGACGAAGCGUGAGUGACGGUAAUGGGUAAAGAAGCACCGGCUAACUACGUG